GGCGGCAGUAGCGCGGUGGUCCCACCUGACCCCAUGCCGAACUCAGAAGUGAAACGCCGUAGCGCCGAUGGUAGUGUGGGGUCUCCCCAUGC
rnacentral:rRNA from 1 species